rfam:Paenibacillus larvae subsp. larvae DSM 25430, complete genome.
GAAGUGGAGUGUAAAAACACAGUCUGGUUGGUAGUCCUAGACACACGUCGUCAUGACCAAAGACGUGUCAGUAACCUUCCCCCUCGGGAUGUCCCUCACUACGGGAACUUCA